rnacentral:rRNA from 1 species
UACGAAGGGUGCAAGCGUUACUCGGAAUUACUGGGCGUAAAGCGUGCGUAGGUGGUUUGUUAAGUCUGAUGUGAAAGCCCUGGGCUCAACCUGGGAAUUGCAUUGGAUACUGGCAGGCUAGAGUGCGGUAGAGGAUGGCGGAAUUCCCGGUGUAGCAGUGAAAAUGCGUAGAGAUCGGGAGGAACGAUCUGUGGCGAAGG